rnacentral:misc_RNA from 1 species
GAAAUGCGAUACGUAAUGCGAAUUGCAGAAUUCAGUGAAUCAUCAAAUCUUUGAACGCAAAUUGCGCUCUUGGGAUAUGCCUGAGAGCAUGCCUUUUUGAGUAUCGGAUCUAUUUCUAUACGCUUCUGCGUGUGGGAAAAUGAGCUUGUCUUUUCUUUUUAAAAGGAAAGUCGCUUGAAGUAAAAGUCGAGUUG